UACGAAGGGUGCAAACGUUGCUCGGAAUUAUUGGGCGUAAAGCGCACGUAGGCGGCUCUAUAAGUCGGAUGUGAAAUCCCUCGGCUCAACCAAGGAAGUGCAUCCGAAACUGUGGAGCUUGAGUACUUAAGAGGAUCGCGGAAUUCCCGGUGUAGAGGUGAAAUUCGUAGAUAUCGGGAGGAACACCAGUGGCGAAGGCGGCGAUCUGGGAAGAUACUGACGCUGAGGUGCGAAAGCGUGGGGAGCAAACAGGG
rnacentral:rRNA from 1 species